ensembl:lncRNA
UCUAGCAAGUCGUUUGUAGCCGCGGUCGCCCUGCGUCUGCCUGCCUCCUGAAUCCACCACAGCGUGCUCCCAACCCAACAAGAUCCCAAAGGUCUUCCAUUUAUUCCAGCACACCUAGGAUUUCUUUUUUGAGUGCGGCCUGUGUGUGUGUAUACGAGAGAAACAGGCAGAGCAUCAAGGGUUCGUGUGUUGCAGAGGCCGGGAGGCUGGGAGGGGGGCUUCCCAUCCCCCUGGGGCCCCUCCUCUCUCGUCAGUGUAGCCAAAGGACACAUUGACUGUGGGGUCCUCCCGUUUCCCCAGGCUAAUUACAUGCCUCUUUAUGAAAGGAAAUAGUUUCCCGGCCGAGCUGGGAAACCCAAGUCCCCGGUGCCCCCUCGUCGCGGGUAUCAUGGGAAGGACAAGAAAGGAGGCAGCUGCUCACACUUUCCUCUGCCUUCCCCGGCCUCGCCCGGGGCGCCCAACCCGGCCUGGAGACGCGGAGCGCCUCCUCCUCCACGCAGACGCCUCGGAAUCCACCUCUGGGCCGCGCUGAGAGACGCGGAUGCUGGGAGGAAACCCUGGCGAAGGAUGCGAGGAGAAAAUGCAUGCAGACCCCGAGCUGAUUUUCAAAAGUGAAAGGUUGGUGUGAGAGGCCGCCUGGCCACAAGGAGGUCAGCGAGGCCCGGCGACUGCUCUUCGCUCGGGGCGCCCUGCGGCACUCUGCUGACACCAGCUCAGCCCGGUCAUGGAGGCAGCGCCAGCCCCCAAGUCCAGAGGGAUACCGAGGGGGCUGCACACCUUCUCUGGGGAUCAGUAGGGCCAGGCGGAGACCCCAGUAUCGCCCUCCUCACCCCGAGAAAGAAGAGGCUUUUCCUGGAAACUAAAGCCGUCCCCAGGGAGCAGAGAGCAGGGCAUGGACCUAUCUCUGGGCUCCAGUCUCAGCAUCCACAGCCUGUCCCCCUGUGGUCACCCCCCUCAGAAGGAGACACCCCCCUAGCACUCACGGCCGUGCGGCCCUGGCAGGUCCCUUUCUACUCCUCCAAGUUGGCAUUUCUGUUCUGCGCUUGCCUGCCAAGGUCUUCAUGAGAACUGAGCAACACGGCGCGUGUGAACCGGCUUAGGAAACUGUGGAGCCCAGGAGGAGCGUUCUCAGGAGCGAGCUGUGGUCUUGGCGCCCACACCGUCUACCAGACGGCGGGAGGCUGCCGUUACAGCAGUGGCGAGACGGGCCCCACGUGGCUGACCGCCUCUGAAAGCCUAACCAUCACCCACCCUGAGCAGUUGGAGGGGGCUGGAGGCCUUGAGAGGAGGGUUUGCUCCCCGGCUGGCAGGCUCCGGAGGCGCUAUCACAGGCCCACAUCACAUCGGGCCUCCGCCUGUGGUCUGAUCUGGGCAUCGCCCCGUCGGCCCGGCCUUCCGGUGGUGCCCGGCAGUUAGAUGGAGAUUGUGGUCUGCUUCCCGCCAGGGCUGGUGCAACAGCUUCUCCUGGUCCUCUGCUCUCUUGGGCUGCUCACCCACUCAGGGCUGGCAGGGUGGAGGAGGACAGGUUGAAAAUGUGUGGAUUGCAGGAGACGCCUGCCUCUCUCCCCCUUUAUUCUGAAAAGG